AGCAGCUGGGAUUUGGGGCACCUGCCACCAUACUUGGCUAAUUUUUGUAUUUUUAGUAGAGAUGGGGUUUCAUCAUGUUGGCCAGGCUAGUCUUGAACUCCUGACUUCAGGUGAUCCACCUGCCUUGGCCUCCCAAAGUGCUGGAAUUACAGGCGUGAGCCACCGCGCCCGGCUGAAGUAGGUUCUUAAGAGGGCUUGCUGAACUGAAGGGAAUUCAGAGAGCUUGAACUUCCUUCUCCAAACCUUUGCUAGUAGCACCAGGUGGCGGUCCUUGGUGCUCACUGUAGGUCACAGCCGAGUCCCUCUGGCAGACUAUGGAGUGGAGUGGAGUGGAUGCCUCCAAGGAGUCCUUCCCCUGUUGGGGUGGUGGUGAGGGCAGUGUUGCAGACUGACCGACCUCCUCCAUACUUUGUUUCUUUGCCAAGGGGUAACCAUUUCCAUUAAAAUCUACCACAUGCUUUCAGUGUAUCAAAUAUAUAUUUGGUUUUGUGCUGUGCAUGUCUUCAAAAAUGGAGAGGAGAUCCAUGCUGAACAAACUCUGAACCAAUCAUACGGAUUUGCAUUCACGUGAUGUGCAGCAAAUAGAGUUCUAAGGAGUUCAGGCUGAUUUACUGUAGCCCUAGAGAAUAGACACAUUCCAGAAAUAUCCCCUCUCCGCUAGCCUCCUCCCAGCUCUCUGAAUUGCCUUAGCAUCUAUUCACAACACAGCGGGUGGUGUGGCAGGCUGAUUUCCCUGAGGGCUGGGUGGGCAAGAGCAGGUGUUGGCCUGCACCCGGACAGAGGGUGAAGCCCUCCUGGGCCCCUCCUCUUCCCCCAUCCCUGUCCCUGAACCGGUGUCCGGGGGACGCCCAUCCCUUUGUUUAGGCAAGGCCUUUUUGGGUCUUAUAUUCUGGAUUUUUGGGGACAAGGUCUCACUCCGUCGCCCAGGCUGGAGCACAGUGGCACAAUCUCAGCUUACUGCAUCUUCCACCUCCCAGAUUCAAGCGAUUCUCCUGCGUCAGCCCCUCGAGUAGCUGGAGUUACAGGCAUGGGCCACCACAACCAGGUAACUUUUGUAUUUUUAGUAGAGACGGGGUUUCUCCAUGUUGGCCAGGCUGGUCUUGAACUCCUGACUCAAGUGAUCUGCAUUACAGACAUGAGCCACCACUCCCUGCCCAGCCCAACCAUCCUUGGUGGCUGUGGUUUUCCUGCCCAGCCCACUACCACUGGGCCGUAGAUGAGAUGGAUAUCUUGUCCAGCCCGCUGCCACUGGACCAUUUCUGCAGGUAAGGGGGUCAAACCCACAGCCACUGGACCCUCUUCUCUGUAGCAGUUGCAUCUGUUACACAGUAAAGGAGUCCUAGAGAAGUGCUGCCAAGGGGAACUCAUAAAAAAGCCGCUGCUGGAGACUCAGAUGUGCCCUGCUGAGCGAGGCAGUCUCCUCCUACUUACCGUGCUGCAGUGAGCCGCAGUCACCCGCGGGGGAGUUGAAGAAUAAGUUGAAUAUGGUUGAACACGGUGGCAUCAUACUGCUCAGCCAUCUCUGGGGUUAACUGCAGAUGAGAUAAUUCCUGUAUAACUCCUGGAUCCUCUAGGGCAUUCUGCCACUGUAUCCACACUUCAUGGUACAAGGGCGAAUGGACAGAUCUCCAGCUUCCAAGUGAAACGUGAAGGCGACUCGACAAGGAUUUCUGUUAGGACAAUAGUUUUGCUUCAUGAAGACCAGGAAGGCUUGAACUCAGGACAAUGGGUAUCUUGAAUUUACUCAGUUCCCAUCUCUUAAGUUAUUAAACAUUAUUUCCCACCUGUCUUGUGUAUUUUUGCUUGAUCCCUAUAAUAUGGGGGCAGGCAUAAUUUUGUAUAACCCCUGUAAGACGUGUGCCAGGUACAAUUGGCCCUAUUUCCUAUGUGGGGAAACUGAGACUCAGAGCAGAGAAGCGACUCUCCUAAGUCACACGUUGUAUUGCUGGCAGAGUCUCGGGCAGGAGUCGUGCCUCCUGAUUUCCAGGUACAUGCUGCUUUUGCUAGAACCAAUCUAUUAAAGAACCAAGACUCUUUUAUUUGGAAUUAAUGAGGGAUUCCAAAAAUAGUGUUAGCAGUGCUUAACAAAUUUGAAAGAGCAAAGGAACUGAAGCCAGAGAAGACUGAGAUAGGGGAGCUGUUUCAUUGUAUCAAUUUCUAUUCACUUUGUUAAUAAUUGAUGCCACAUUUACUCAUUGUUAUAUAUUAAAAAUACUUGAUUUGCUACAAGGUAAAAAUGACCCAUUGACUUUGUCUCUCAACCUACGCUAACCCUAAAUGAGAAUCUCAUUGUGACCACGAUUUUGCAAAAUUGAUUAAAUGGAAAUAAAUGCAUUCAAGUGUCAAAGGCUGCAUUGGGAAUGGUUGCUAAUGAGCUUGACCUUUCAGAGCUUCCUGGCUGGGUGCACAGUAGGUGUUCAAUGAGUACUGAUGGAUGUCUUGACUGACUGAGAUUUCGGUUAGCCUUCCAUCCCCGGGAGCAUGGUGCCUCUAAUGUGUUAGAUGGCAUCAUGUUCCAAAAAUGAAUCGAUCUAUAAAUUUGAAGACUAAUUUGGAAACAUUUUAACCUUACUAAACAGAAUAGUAUGAUAAAACCUAGGUACCCUACGCCAGCUUCAAAUCAAUAUUCUGCUGUUUUUGUUUACUUCCCUUAACACACAUCACUGCCUCCCCACCCCCAACACACACACACUUUUUUGUUUUUGAGACAGAGUCUCGCUCUGUCACCGAGGCUGGGGUGUAGUGGCGCCAUCUCGGCUCACUGCAAGCUCCGCCUCCUGGGUUCAUGCCAUUCUCCUGUCUCGGCCUCCCAGUCUCCAGAGUAGCUGGGACUUCAGGUGUCCACUUUUUUUUUUUUUUUUUGGCUGAAGUACCAUAAAGGAAAUUUCAAACAUUGUGUCAUUCACCUGUGAAUAAAUCUGUAUGUACCUCCAAUAGAUAGACUAAAAAAACCACAACCUUAUCACCACAACACAAUUAGCCAUUGUUUCUUAAUAUCAUAGGAGGCCUCUUCCAUGCUGAAUGCUCCAU
rnacentral:lncRNA from 1 species